rnacentral:rRNA from 1 species
GACAGAGGUUGCAAACGUUGUUCGGAAUCACUGGGCAUAAAGCGCACGUAGGCGGUCUGUUAAGUCAGGGGUGAAAUCCCAGAGCUCAACUCUGGAACUGCCUUUGAUACUGGGUAUCUCGAGUAUGGAAGAGGUGAGUGGAAUUCCGAGUGUAGAGGUGAAAUUCGUAGAUAUUCGCAAGAACACCAGUGGCGAAGGCGGCUCACUGGCCCGAUACUGACGCUGAGGUGCGAAAGCGUGGGGAGCAAACAGG